GUUAUAUUUCAAUCAGAAUUCAAAAUAUUCAAUAUGUUUUUAAAAAGUAGUAGUAUGCAGUAGUGUUGAAUAAAUGCUGUUUACUCUUUAAAACAAGGAAAAUGUGUAUCUUAUAUCUACCAGCACUUUAUAUGGGUAAAAAUAAAAUAUCUUGUAAAAAUAAUGAUGGAAUAUUGGAGUUAUUUUCAUAUAUCCAUAUUUCUAUCAUCAUCUGGAUGGCUGCAUUGGACCUAAUGUUAAUGAUUCUUGCAUUAAACUCAAUGUUAAUGAUUCUUGAAUUGAUAAUAUCCAAGAUGAGAAAUCUAUUAUUUUAUCAUCUUGGAAGAUCCAGGUUCAGUUUUGGGUCCCAGAUAUCCAAUUUUUCAGAUGGAGUCUGGGCUCAGCAAAUCUGUUGAACCUCAUCCUUCAAUUGAUCUCACUGUGGGUGUUGGUCAACCUGAAAGGGGCCUCUAAAAGUGGCCACUGCCAAAAGUAUCCUGUGUUAUUUUAAGAUCGGAAGAGCGU
rnacentral:lncRNA from 1 species